CGGAAAGCCUGAUCCAGCGACGCCGCGUGGACGAUGAAGGUCUUCGGAUCGUAAAGUCCUUUUGUUAGGGAAGAAUAUUUUGACGGUACCUAACGAAUAAGAGGUUGCUAACUCUGUGCCAGCAGCAGCGGUAAUACAGAGACCUCGAGCGUUAUCCGGAAUCAUUGGGCGUAAAGCGUACCGAUAGGUGGUUAAGAAAGUCAGAUGUGAAAUCUCCGAGCUCAACUCGGAAUCUGUCAUUUGAAACUUCUUGACUAGAGGAGCAAAGAGGAAGCUGGAACGAACGGUGUAGUAGUGAAAUGCGUUGAUAUCGUUCGGAACACCAAUAGCGUAGGCAGGCUUCUGGGUGCUACCUGACACUGCUAGGACGAAAGCGUGGGGAGCGAAGGGGAUUAGAUACCCCCGUAGUCCACGCUGUAAACGAUGUACAUUAGGCGCUAGGGAGUAUCGACCCUCUUUAGUGCCAAAGCUAACGCGUUAAAUGUACCGCCUGGGGAGUACGGCCGCAAGGCUA
rnacentral:rRNA from 1 species